GAUGAACGCUGGCGGCGUGCCUAAUACAUGCAAGUCGAGCGAACAGACGAGGAGCUUGCUCCUCUGACGUUAGCGGCGGACGGGUGAGUAACACGUGGAUAACCUACCUAUAAGACUGGGAUAACUUCGGGAAACCGGAGCUAAUACCGGAUAAUAUAUUGAACCGCAUGGUUCAAUAGUGAAAGACGGUUUUGCUGUCACUUAUAGAUGGAUCCGCGCCGCAUUAGCUAGUUGGUAAGGUAACGGCUUACCAAGGCAACGAUGCGUAGCCGACCUGAGAGGGGGGUCGGCCACACUGGAACUGAGAAACGGUCCAGACUCCUACGGGAGGCAGCAGUAGGGAAUCUUCCGGAAUGGGCGAAAGCCUGACGGAGCAACGCCGCGUGAGUGAUGAAGGUCUUCGGAUCGUAAAACUCUGUUAUUAGGGAAGAACAAAUGUGUAAGUAACUAUGCACGUCUUGACGGUACCUAAUCAGAAAGCCACGGCUAACUACGUG
rnacentral:rRNA from 1 species